UUAAUUAUUUCUUAGCUAUUGAAGCACGUAUUAAAAUUUUAAUUAUUUAACAUACCACUUCAGCAUACUAAAAUUAAGAUAUAGAAGGUCAAUAUAUAGAUCUAGAUAUAGAACAUUUCCAUUACUUAAAAUAUUCUCUCAUAUUUUCCUUCAGUUAAUUCCCAGUUCUCAGAGGCAACUGUUAUUCUGACUUUAAUCACCAUUGAUUAGUCUGUUCUUGAACUUCAUAUAAA